CCCACAGCCCAUGGUGCCAUUUUGGAGCCAUUCUUAGCCUUGGCCCUGAGCCCAGCCUUGUCCCCACUGUCCUGGCUCACGGACACCCCUGGGACCAGAGGUGGGGGAAUGUCUCUGGAGCUUCAGGCUGCUGCUUAGAUUCAUUUCCUGGCUUGCUUGAGUGGGAAGUCUCUGCUGUCCCAGCUCCAGGGGAUGUGACUAACUGUGCCACACACCCCCUUCCCUAUCUCUCUGAGGGGUCACCUGCUGCCACAGGAAAUACAUUCACAUUGCUCUGAAUUCAUCACAUUGUUCAGAAACAUCUUUUUCGAGCGAAGCAAAAACAUUUUUAUAGAAGAUGGAGAUAGCUGCUCUCACUGAAACAGAUCUUCAGCUCUUGGAGGUCUUGAUGAAACCUGCAGUGCAUGGCACACUGUUACUCGAAUUAAAGGAGAUCUGUCUCUUUAACGAUGUUCUCAGAAGUUUUUGGCACAAAGACAAAACUGCCACAACAGGACUGCUGAUGCAGGAUCGCAGCCUUCAUGCCUCUGCAUUAGCAAAUUGUUCGUUAAUGAGCUGAUAGGGCUAGUAAAACCGUUUUGCACAAUGGCAUUUAGCCAACGAGGUAUGACAGCUGAAGGUAUUUUCCUGAAGCCAAGCUGCCAGGGGAGGUGUGCCUUCCAUCUUCAGCAAGAUUAGACUCAAGAGUAUAAUUAAUCUCAUCUGAGAUGCACAUUCACUCAUCCCCCCUUACAUUGUUUUGUUAGGCUUGUGUGCUUUCUAUGCCUUGCUUUUUCUUUUGCAUGUUUAACCUUUCAUCAUUCACAAGCCCACUCACUUCUGCGACCUGUGUUGCAUCCAGC